rnacentral:tRNA from 1 species
GGAAUACGUUAUAUGUGUACUCUGCAAAAGUAUAUAAAGUAUGAUUAUUACUCGUAUUUUU